GACGAACGCUGGCGGCGUGCUUAACACAUGCAAGUCGAGCGAGCAGAUUCCCUUCGGGGAUGAAGCUAGCGGCGGACGGGCGAGUAACACGUGGGCAACCUGCCUUAUAGAGGGGGAUAGCCUUCCGAAAGGAAGAUUAAUACCGCAUAACAUCAGAUUAUCGCAUGGUAGACUGAUCAAAGGAGCAAUCCGCUAUAAGAUGGGCCCGCGUCGCAUUAGCUAGUUGGUGAGGUAACGGCUCACCAAGGCGACGAUGCGUAGCCGACCUGAGAGGGUGAUCGGCCACAUUGGGACUGAGACACGGCCCAGACUCCUACGGGAGGCAGCAGUGGGGAAUAUUGCACAAUGGGGGAAACCCUGAUGCAGCAACGCCGCGUGAGUGAUGAAGGCCUUCGGGUUGUAAAGCUCUUUGAUCAGGGACGAUAAUGACGGUACCUGAAGAACAAGCCACGGCUAACUACGUGCCAGCCGCCGCCGUAACAC
rnacentral:rRNA from 1 species